rnacentral:rRNA from 1 species
GUAUCACCCAAGACAACUUUACGGAGUUGACGAUUGACGGAGCGAAGCGACGUCAAAGCGUUCAUUAAAGUCGAGUUGGCUUAGGGAUACGUUCGUUGGGUAGGGGAGCGUUCUGUAAGCCUGUGAAUGUGUGUCGUGAGGCAUGCUGGAGGUAUCAGAAGUGCGAAUGCUGACAUAAGUAACGAUAAAGCGGGUGAAAAGCCCGCUCGCCGGAAGACCAAGGGUUCCUGUCCAACGUUAAUCGGGGCAGGGUGA